AUUUGAAAUCUGGCCUCGGCCCGAGUUGUAAUUUGCAGAGGAUGCUUCUGGCGAGGCACCGACCGAGUCCCCUGGAACGGGGCGCCAUAGAGGGUGAGAGCCCCGUAUGGUCGGACGCUUAGCCUGUGUGAAGCUCCUUCGACGAGUCGAGUAGUUUGGGAAUGCUGCUCAAAAUGGGAGGUAAAUUUCUUCUAAAGCUAAAUACCGGCCAGAGACCGAUAGCGCACAAGUAGAGUGAUCGAAAGAUGAAAAGCACUUUGAAAAGAGGGUUAAAUAGCACGUGAAAUUGUUGAAAGGGAAGCGCUUGUGACCAGACUUGCGCCUGGCCGAUCAUCCGGGGUUCUCCCCGGUGCACUCGGCCAGGCUCAGGCCAGCAUCGGUUCUCUCGGGGGGACAAAGGCUCCGGGAACGUAGCUCCCUCCGGGGAGUGUUAUAGCCCGGGGCGUAAUGCCCUCGAGGGGACCGAGGACCGCGCUUCGGCAAGGAUGCUGGCG
rnacentral:rRNA from 1 species